rnacentral:snRNA from 1 species
GUCCUCGCUUCGGCAGCACAUAUACUAAAAUUGAAAACGAUACAGAGAAGAUUAGCAUGGUCUUGUGCACGGAUGACAUGCAAAAUCAUGAAGCGUUCCAUAUUUUU